AAACCAUGCAUCUUGCAUUGUUAUGACAAAUCUUUAAAUCACUCCCAAACUUCAUACAAAUUCCCAUCUUCCAAUUGCGUGAAAGAUGUGAUUUCAUUCCUCAAUCU